UACGUAGGGUCCGAGCGUUAAUCGGAAUUACUGGGCGUAAAGUGUGCGCAGGCGGCCGAGCAAGUCGAGUGUGAAAGCCCCGAGCUUAACUUGGGAACUGCGCUCGAAACUACUUGGCUAGAGUGUGGCAGAGGGAGGUGGAAUUCCACGUGUAGCGGUGAAAUGCGUAGAGAUGUGGAGGAACACCGAUGGCGAAGGCAGCCUCCUGGGCCAACACUGACGCUCAUGCACGAAAGCGUGGGGAGCAAACAGG
rnacentral:rRNA from 1 species